rnacentral:rRNA from 1 species
GACAGAGGAUGCAAGCGUUAUCCGGAAUGAUUGGGCGUAAAGCGUCUGUAGGUGGCUUUUUAAGUCCGCCGUCAAAUCCCAGGGCUCAACCCUGGACAGGCGGUGGAAACUACCAAGCUGGAGUACGGUAGGGGCAGAGGGAAUUCUCGGUGUAGUGGUGAAAUACGUAGAUAUCGAGAAGAACACCAAUAGCGAAAAGCACUCUGCUGGGCCGAAACUGACAUUGAGAGACGAAAGCUAGGGGAGCGAAUGGG